GCCCAUGUGGCUCAGUGGUAGAGCACUCCCUUGGUAAGGGAGAGGUCGGCAGUUCGAUCCUGCCCAUGGGCACCA
rnacentral:tRNA from 788 species